UCGAAUUUAGGUCAUCGACAUAUGUGAUUAUUGGAUUCUGAAAGACAUCCUUAUGCAAAGUAAACAGCACAGUCUUCCUUUUUGUUGGUUUAUGUCACGACGGAAGGAAUAUUUAUAUUCAGCCACUUCGGACUUUGUUUAGCGAGAGUCUAUUCAUUCUCAGAGAAACACCCUUGAUAAAGGUGGCUUUAGAAGACUGUGGCGAAAAAGUAAUAUACUUAAUCAAAAGAUUGUCAUGAAUCCUCAGGCUGUUCUACUGUUCAUGCUGGUAGCUGUUCCGUUCACAUCCGCAAUAACUUGUGCAGUCCAUCAGUUUGCUUGUGCAAAUCAACAGAAGUGUAUCCAUGCGUCUGACCGCUGCGAUGCGAACAGCCACUGUAGUGAUGGAUCAGACGAAC